rnacentral:rRNA from 1 species
GACGAACGCUGGCGGCGUGCUUAACACAUGCAAGUCGAACGGUGAAGCGCCUUCCUUUUUGGUGGGUGUGGAUGAGUGGCGAACGGGUGAGUAACACGUGAGUAACCUGCCCCCUUCUUCUGGAUAACCGCAUGAAAGUGUGGCUAAUACGGGAUAUUCUGGGUCUGUCGCAUGAUGGGUCUGGGAAAGAUUUUGUUUCGGUGGGGGAUGGGCUCGCGGCCUAUCAGCUUGUUGGUGGGGUGAUGGCCUACCAAGGCGGUGACGGGUAGCCGGCCUGAGAGGGUGGACGGUCACACUGGGACUGAGACACGGCCCAGACUCCUACGGGAGGCAGCAGUGGGGAAUAUUGCACAAUGGGCGCAAGCCUGAUGCAGCGACGCCGCGGGAGGGAUGGAGGCCUUCGGGUUGUGAACCUCUUUCGCCAGUGAAGCAGGCCUGCCUCGUUUGUGGGUGGGUUGACGGUAGCUGGAUAAGAAGCGCCGGCUAACUACGUG